rnacentral:rRNA from 1 species
UUCCAGCUCCAUGAGCAUGUACGUAAGUUGUUGCAGUUAAAAAGCUCGUAGUUGGAUCUCAGGCCGUGGUCAAUGGUCCGUCCGAUACGGAUGUGUACUGUUGUACCUGGUCUACGUCUGGUUCAACGUUCGUAGUGCCCUUAACCGGGUGCUGCGGAACGCCAGAAGGUUUACUCUGAAAAAAUUAGAGUGCUUAAAGCAAGCCGUUGUGCUUGAAUAUUGUUGCAUGGAAUAAUGGAAUAGGGCCUCGGAUCUAUUUUGUUGGUUUUCGGAGUCGAGGCAAUGAUUAACAGGGACAGACGGGGGCAUUCGUAUUGCGCCGUUAGAGGUGAAAUUCUUGGAUCGGCGCAAGACGAACAACUGCGAAAGCAUUUGCCAAGGAUGUUUUCAUUAAUCAAGAACGAAAGUCAGAGGUUCGAAGACGAUCAGAUACCGUCGUAGUCCUGACCAUAAACGAUGCCAACUGGCGAUCCGCCGUAGUCUAUUAUUAAGGACUCGGCGGGCAGCCUCCGGGAAACCUAAGUCUAUGGGUUCCGGGGGAAGUAUGGUUGCAAAGCUGAAACUUAAAGGAAUUGACGGAAGGGCACCACCAGGAGUGGAGCCUGCGGCUUAAUUUGACUCAACACGGGGAAACUCACCCGGCCAGGACACCGUUAGGAUUGACAGACUGAGAGCUCUUUCUCGAUUCGGUGGGUGGUGGUGCAUGGCCGUUCUUAGUUGGUGGAGUGAUUUGUCUGCUUGAUUGCGUAAAACGAACGAGACUCUAGCCUGCUAAAUAGAUUGGCGAUCUCAUAGGUCGACCAAACGCUUCUUAGAGGGACAAGUGACGUCUUAGUCACACGAAAUUGAGCAAUAACAGGUCUGUGAUGCCCUUAGAUGUCCGGGGCCGCACGCGCGCUACAAUGAGAGAGGCAAUGUGCCCACAACUCCUGACCCGAAAGGGUUGGGGAAUCAUGUUAAUUUCUCUCGUAAUAGGGAUCGAGCAUUGUAAUUAUUGCUCGUGAACGAGGAAUUCCUAGUAAGCGCGAGUCAUCAGCUUGCGUUGAUUACGUCCCUGCCCUU